rnacentral:rRNA from 1 species
UACGUAGGGGGCAAGCGUUGUCCGGAUUUAUUGGGCGUAAAGAGCGUGUAGGCGGCCUGGAAGGUCAGCUGUGAAAACUCGAGGCUCAACCUCGAGACGUCGGUUGAAACCACCUGGCUAGAGUCCGGAAGAGGAGAGUGGAAUUCCCGGUGUAGCGGUGAAAUGCGCAGAUAUCGGGAAGAACACCCGUGGCGAAGGCGGCUCUCCGGGACGGUACUGACGCUGAGACGCGAAAGCGUGGGGAGCGAACAGG